rnacentral:rRNA from 1 species
GACGAACGCUGGCGGCGUGCUUAACACAUGCAAGUCGAACGGAAAGGCCCUGCUUUUGUGGGGUGCUCGAGUGGCGAACGGGAGAGUAACACGAGAGUAAACUGCCCUUGACUUUGGGAUAACUUCAGGAAACUGGGGCUAAUACCGGAUAGGGGCUCCUGCUGCAUGGGGGGGGUGGGAAAGGUUCGGCGGUUGGGGCUGGACUCGCGGGUUAUCAGCUUGUUGGUGGGGUAGUGGCUUACCAAGGCUUUGACGGGUAGCCGGCCUGAGAGGGUGACCGGCCCCAUUGGGACUGAGAUACGGCCCAGACUCCUACGGGAGGCAGCAGUGGGGAAUAUUGCACAAUGGGCGGAAGCCUGAUGCAGCAACGCCGCGUGCGGGAUGACGGCCUUCGGGUUGUAAACCGCUUUCGCCUGUGACGAAGCGUGAGUGACGGUAAUGGGUAAAGAAGCACCGGCUAACUACGUG